rnacentral:rRNA from 1 species
AUCCGUGUGGAAAUCGUUCGUUGUCACGGGUUCCCGUCCUAUCACCUAAGUUAAGCGAGGUUGGGCCCGGUUAGUACUUGCAUGGGUGACCGGCUGGGAAUACCGGGUGUUUCCGGCU